AGAAAAGUCUUACAUUUUAAUUUUGAAUAGUUGGGUCUUUUAAAAUACAAACAAUUGCAGGUGAUCUGCAGAGAACCUAUUGAAAGAGUAAUUUCCACUAAUCCAAGAAAAUUAUAACGUAUCUGCAGAAAAUAUGAAAACAGAGAAAGGUUAAAUCAAUUAAGUAGGUUAUUUACUACAAAACACUCGAUCAGCCAUAGAAACUAACCCUGAACAGAUGUAUACUGUUCUGAUAUACACUUGUGGUCUAUUUGAAGAUAAGUUAAAAUGCUUUUCUUAAUAUCAAAUAAAUACUCUUCAAAAUGCUCCUUCAGAUCUUCAGUCAUUACUAAGAACAUGUGCAGUGCAGGAUUAAACACUGCAAAUAUAUGCAUCUUAAAGGUCAAGACCUGAAUGGAGAAGUCUUUAUUGCCAGCAUAAGAAUUCAUAAAAUCCCACAUAUCCCGUAUGCCUAAAGUCAAGUUCUUUAAAUAACUUGAAUUUUGAUGUCUGGGAUGAAAACAGACCAGUAUAAUUUUGAGAAGUACUGGAAGCCAUUUCAGUUGCAGCUGAGGUCCCUGUUCCCAUCCAGCCAGGCUCAUCUCCAGAAGGACACUGUAAAGCUGGCUGAGUCCCCACCACUGGGCAGACAUUAGGCAGGUGAGGGCCCCCAGUUUACCUCCACCCUACAUUUCUGACUACCUGAGAUUCCCAGAUCGGGUCUCGGAGUCUUCUGUCACUUCUGUGAACAUAUUUUUAGUGUCUGACUCUUCGAGUUCAAAACCCUGUACCUUGUGUUUCUGAACUGGCAGAGUGGCAAGGAACUUGUGGGAGCAGAGAGCACUUCUGAAAGAAGAGAGAUGCUUUUUCAGAUACAAUUGCACUUUGGAAGAAAGGACAAGACCCAGAAGCCAAAGCAGGCAACCUGCCUGGAUUUGGGCACCUAACUCAGAUCAGGUUUCCUAAUUCUAGGAGCAGACGCUGCAUAUCUGAACUACGCGUGCAUCUUUCAAGGUACUUCAGAAGGUCUUUGAUGGAAAUCAUGAAUCGUGAAUGAAGAUCUUUGUCUCAUGAAUGAAGAUCUUCCCAUUUUACAUAGUUGAUGUUCCAUCCAUGUUCUCUAACUGAGCUAUAUAUGAGAUUUGAGAUCUUACCGAUAAUGUUUUGUAUCUGGGAUGCACUCUGCUGUUGCAUGCAGUGUAGCUUGUGAAAGAGGGACAAUUUUACGUAGCUGGACAUUGCCAUCUCCCAGUUGCUUGUCCCAUCUUUCUUUUUUGUAUGGUCAUUGACUGUGAGCUCCACAAGCAAAAAACUGUCUUCUCUCCACAUAUUGGUACGCCUUGGAUGACAAAGUCUUGGUCCUUUCACAGUAAUAAAUGCUAACAAAGCAUAACUAAGGUCAAAGUAAUGACAGUAUAGCAUCAAAAGCUCUUUAAUAAUAAUAGUAAUAAACAGUGGUGGGUAUUUCAUGUAAAUAGGCAAUCUUUUAAAUGAAAUUGCUUUUCAGAAAGCAUACUGCAUUUCAUUUGAGAUUCACAAAACACUGUUUCCAUUUAAGAAAUCUCUGGUCCAUAAUAUACAGGAUUCUGAGUCAAUUUCAGUGUAGACAUAUCAGAGUUUCAUUGUUAUUGUUGUUUUGUGUUUUUUUUUCAGGGGUGGGGGGAGGUUGUUUGUUUUGUUUGUUUUGUUUUUGUUCCAUGAUAUGGGCAAUAGCUGGCAUGGUCCCUUCAUUCAUUCUGCUGCCAGCUGCUUUAUUAGCCAUUUUAACUGUCACUGAGCAGGACUAACGAGCCACCAGAGAGACUGGCUGAAAGGGAAGUUAAGCAGCUGAAUGGAAUGGGGUUGAAGGAAAAGGGGAACAUAAAACAAAUAGCCCCCCAAAAAGUUACUUUAAAACCUUGUUCUGCUUUUCUUUAAAACAAAAAACACCGUGGGAAUUACUGGGACACUUGCUCUUUUUCGUGAAGUGCAGAGCCCUGAUCUUCUGGAAGGCUGGGGACCAAUGAAAUCACCUGCACUCACAGCCCAAGCACAGAGUCCUAGGAAUAGUUUUUACUACAAGUUUGAACCAAAGCUUGUAUAGCCUUGCUACUAUUGUUUAGGUACACAGUAACUGAAAGGAAGGGGAAAAAAUAAGAGAUCUUUCACUGCUUCCAUUAAUGCUGGGUCGCCCUCUUCACCCCCCUGCAAAGCACCCCUGCAGUCACAGCAGCUCCACACCGCUAAAGCCUGAGACCUUUACCUGCAGAGCACAGGCAGAAGUCCAAAAAGACUUCUGCUCCUUUACACAGUGCAUCGAGCCAAGUGUCCUAACCCUCUUUAUAAAGAGAGGCUUGCAAAAAGCAAGCUCAGCUCUGCGAAGAAUGAGUCCUGCUGGAGUUCUCCUAGAUCUCCAAAGCAGAAAGGCACCUCCCAGUCCCAGCAGAAGGGCUCAGAUGCAGAUUACCCUGCUGCUGUGCUCGCACAGCCGAUCACGACUCAACAUAUGUUCUUUGCUUUUUUGGCUGGAGUUACGGUUGUCUUUCCUUUCCUCUCCUUCCCCCCCCACCCCCUCCACCCUCACUCUUGAUUCUCACAGGAGCAAUAAAUGCCAGUAGUAAAUAUUCUCAGCCUUACAAGGAUUUCACUAAAUUAAGGUUCACAUCCAAGCUUUGGGCAACUUCCUGUGUUCUAAAUGGGAUCCAAAUGAGGGUUUUCCAAAGUCUAUACAGUAUAAUAAUAAUAAAAAACAUAUCUAAAUCA